CGAACGGGUGAGUAAUGCGUGACCAACCUGCCCCAUGCUCCAGAAUAGCUCUUGGAAACGGGUGGUAAUGCUGGAUGCUCCAACUUGACGCAUGUCUUGUUGGGAAAGUGUUUAGUGGCAUGGGAUGGGGUCGCGUCCUAUCAGCUUGUAGGCGGGGUAAUGGCCCACCUAGGCUUCGACGGGUAGCCGGCCUGAGAGGGCGGACGGCCACAUUGGGACUGAGAUACGGCCCAGACUCCUACGGGAGGCAACAGCU
rnacentral:rRNA from 1 species